rnacentral:rRNA from 1 species
UAAUACGUAGGGGGCAAGCGUUGUUCGGAAUUACUGGGCGUAAAGGGCGCGUAGGCGGCACGGCAAGUCAGGAGUGAAAGCCCGGGGCUCAACCCCGGAACGGCUUUUGAGACUGCCGAGCUAGAGUGCGGAAGGGGCAACCGGAAUUCCCAGUGUAGCGGUGAAAUGCGUAGAUAUUGGGAAGAACACCGGAGGCGAAGGCGGGUUGCUGGGCCGACACUGACGCUGAGGCGCGAAAGCCAGGGGAGCAAACGGGAUUAGAUACCCCGGUAGUCCUGGCCCUAAACGAUGGAUACUUGGUGUGUGGGGUUCUGAAAGUCCCCGCGUGCCGGAGCUAACGCGGUAAGUAUCCCGCCUGGGGAGUACGGUCGCAAGGCUG